CCUGCAGCUGGGUCGCCUGUUGCAGG
ncrna:unclassified sequences L25-Gammaproteobacteria ribosomal protein leader